rnacentral:rRNA from 1 species
UACGUAGGGGGCGAGCGUUGUCCGGAUUCACUGGGCGUAAAGAGCUCGUAGGUGGCUUGGUAGGUCCGUUGUGAAAACUCGAGGCUCAACCUCGAGACGCCGAUGGAAACCAUCAGACUAGAGUCCGGAAGAGGAGAGUGGAAUUCCUGGUGUAGCGGUGAAAUGCGCAGAUAUCAGGAAGAACACCCGUGGCUAAGGCGGCUCUCUAGUACGGUACUGACGCUGAGACGCGAAAGCGUGGGGAGCGAACAGG